rnacentral:rRNA from 1 species
UACAGAGGGUGCAAGCGUUGUUCGGAAUUAUUGGGCGUAAAGGGUGCGUAGGCGGUGCGGUAAGUCUGUAGGGAAAUCUCUGGGCUCAACUCAGAGUCUGCUAUAGAAACUGCCGUGCUUGAGUGUGGGAGAGGUGAGUGGAAUUCCCGGUGUAGCGGUGAAAUGCGUAGAUAUCAGGAGGAACACCGGUGGCGAAGGCGGCGACCUGGUCCGACACUGACGCUGAGGCGCGAAAGCGUGGGGAGCAAACAGG